AUCGCCAUCCGCAGCGGCCAGAGACGACGCCAUCCCCAUCCAGCGUCGUCGUCGUUGCCGAAGUUCACCGCUGCCGCAAGUCGCCCCGCCGAGGUGGUUCCCACAGUAACUUUCAAUUAUCAUCUGUUUAGUCCCAAGAUCCAGAGCUUGGCUAGGUCAUUCAGCUUUAAGGCGAUCAGUGUAAGAAUGUUGGUAUCCAACCGGGUGGCAUCCGCUUUGCUGACGUUGUAA
rnacentral:lncRNA from 1 species